AAAGGGAGACCUAAUUCAGGUAAAAGACGAAAAAAAGUAGUCGCUACCAAGAAUCAAUCCCAAAAGGUCGGAGCGAGGCGAAAUUGGCUUUCAAACUAGGUUCUGGGUUCAAACAAGACAUGAAUCAGGAACAAGGGCUAUUAGCUCAGGUGGUUAGAGCGCACCCCUGAUAAGGGUGAGGUCCCUGGUUCGAGUCCAGGAUGGCCCACCUGCACAGGUGGCAAAAACAAGAGAAGCGAGGAAUCAGCACCUUAUCUUACUUAUAUAGUAAGAGAGAAUGCUGGCUCUGAGUAAAGAGUCCAGAGGAACCUUGAAAACUGCAUAGAGCUAGGUGAAAAAGCCAAAAAAGAAGACCGCAAG
rnacentral:tRNA from 1 species